AUAAAGACUCUGUACUGUAGAGAUGUCCACCUCCCCGGUCGGUGCAGAGGCGAUGUCAUUCCAGCUGGAAUCUCAAGCAGGCUCCACGAACCUGGUGAGCUGGUUCCAACACGUCUGUGCAAGAGCAAAAGGCUUGGAACAGCCCAAGAAUCCAGACAAGGCGUCGAGAGGAAGCCUCCCUAGAUCUGGAUGUGCCAAGGUUCUGGAGAUGAGGGUGGCCGUGUGGGGCCAGAUGUCACUGCCAGGGGCCGCAGGCCUGCAGACAAGAAUCACAGCCAUUGGGAGCACAGCUGUGGCCGUGUGUGCAUUACUCACUGCCAGCCUGGCCAGUGAGCUCCGGCCCAGAGGACCCAGCAUCCAGAUGGUGGUCGCCACAGCCGAGAUGGUGAAUGAGCACACGACAGAUGGGACACACGUGCACCACAGCAGCAGCUGCGCCGCCCAGUGCCCCGGAGAAACACUCACGAGCGUGCAAAGGCUCUGGCAGCAACCAGAAAAGCCGAGGCCAGACACAUGCUGGGCACACCCUCUGCGGUGGGACCAGUGCCUUUGCUGCAGUCACACGGGAACUGGCCGGUGACGGGAACCACAACUACACCUUCAAAUGUCAACAGAGCCAGCUCAAAAAUGCAAGGGGAGCCAGAUGGGGUGGUGCACAACUGUAAUCCUAGCUCCUCCGGGGCAGGAGAAUCCCAAAUUUGAGGUCAGACUGGGCAACUUAGCAAGACUGAGCUUAAAAAACAAAAGCAACAUAUAUGUAAGGCGUAAGCUACUGAAGGAUGUGUGCGGUGUAUCAUUCAAAACGAGGACACAAGCCUGGCGUGGUGGUGCAGGCCUAUAAUCCCAGCCCUCAGGAGGCUGAGGCAGGCAGACUGCCUCUAGUUUAAGGGCAGCCUGGACUACAAAGUGAUCUCAAGGCCAGCCUGAAAUACAUAGUGAGACCCUGUCUCAAAAAGAAACAAAAAACACUAUAAAGAAAAGCAAGGCAGAAGAAACCCCAGGCCAGUGGGUUCCUGUGACGGGGCUGGGGAGCAGGUUCUGCACACAAAUGCCAGCAGUCUGUCCUUCUGUCCUUGUCUCUAUGGACCGCAGCGGGCCCUACCCACCAGCCUGACGUCCACAUCCACUACAUUUCCCAAGGCCCCACCCACACCUUGGAGUUCACCAGUAUCUCUUACUCCUGUGUGUACGGUCCUGGCUUCCAGGAGGUGCUAAGUGAGGGUUUGUUGUAGGACUGAAUAAGGCUGUGAAGAAUGGAAUCCUUCCCAGUUCUGGUGGACACUGCGAUGCUGUGACCUCUGCUGGGGAGACUGAGGCCAGGGCAGCCAAGAUUCCCACCAGCUCAGCAAUUAGCACCUCCCUGGGAGGCCUACAUGUUGAGGAGGGAGGCGCUGCACCCACACUCCUUCCUCCAGGCCUGGGCCAAGCCACAUGCUGCACAUCUGGGGCCCCCACCCCCACUGGGGUUCCCGGAGGCUGGCCACACCCCCAGCUCCUGCCAGCUUCCUGCUCACAGGCCUCCAAAUCCACCGUCCAGGGCCUGCACCCAGAGGAUGCCUUCCUGCCUGGAAGGGGGUCCCUGCCUUGGGUCUGCCUUGCAUUCAGCUCUUGGCCUGGUCCCCGCUCUUCCAGCCCCCAAGCCUCCUUGGUAGGCUGGCCUGGGCCUUGGCCAGCUCUGCCUCCUCCCGCAGGGGUGAGACCUCCCCUUCCCUGCCUGUCCUCAGGCCUGGUGGGGACAGGAGGACCAGGUAGGCCGCAACCACACCCUGUGCGGUGCCUUCGUCUCCCCAUCCAGCCUCCCAUGCCCUCUCCCUCCUCAGAAAGGGCUGCGGGUGGGGUUAAGGGGUGGAAGAUGCUGACGGGAAACAGGGCUGGAGCCCAGGGCUGCCACACCCAGAUGCCCGCCUGGAGUGAGGCCAGGCUGGGCUUUGAGGAGUCUGGGGACCCCUACCCCACCCCCGUUCCCACCCCUCCCUCCGGGGUCCUGAGCUGAAGAAAGACUCUUUUUUUUGGGCCUGUGACCUCAGAUUCUCAGCCCGGGCGGUGGGCCCAGCUCAAUUGUCCUGGCUGGUUCCACUGGCCAGGGCACUGCCCAGCCCUGCCCCCAUCAAAGGGCCCUUGAGCUCUGCGGCCAGCUCCCUGGUGGUCUUGCCACAUGGCCUCCCGCUGGCAGGAGGACAGGACUCUCCUAGGAUUCCCAUGCCGUGGGGGCAUGGAGGAGGUGGCUUCCAGCCAAGGAGCCCUGCAUGCCUGGUCAGGCCUGCUGGCCUGCUGCAGGUCAGAGCAGAGGCCAACGCAAGCAGGGUGCGGGUCGGGCUGGGCUGCUAACUCGCACCCCACUCGGCUGUUCUUGGGGUGCAGUGCCUCCUCUGCACCCCGCAAGCAGGCCCUAGGCCCAUCUGCUCUCAGUGUCUCCACUGUUCCUGGGCCUGAUGCGGUCCCCGGCCAUCCCCGCCGUCCUUAGACUGUCACCGCGUGCAGGGCCCGCUGGAGACCUUCUCGCUCGCUGCUGGCCUGAGCGCCAGGGCGAGGCCGGGAAGGAUGUGGGUCUCCG
ensembl:lincRNA